AAUAAUGGCGCAGCAGGAGCAAUUCCUUCACCAGCGUCUCAUCCAAAAACCAUUCUCAAAACCUUCUCUUCCUCUCCUCUAUCGUAUUCUUCAGCUCAAGAGCAAUUCCUUCACCAGCGUUUUAUUCCCACCACCUACGCCGCUCGUGAAAGCAGCUCGCUCUUAGAAGUCUACUCCGGUUUCACAGCUGUUUCAGUUGUUGAAAAAGCACUAUAAUAGUAGAAGAGAAGGAACAUGACCAAGGCUCGAAAGCCUAAGAACGAGGAAGCUUCUGGCUGGAAGUGUUCGGAGAAAGUCAGAGCAAAAGUGCUUCACCAGAAGCUCUGCCUUUCUGUCGACUUAAAAAAAAGGCAAAUCUACGGAGAAAUUGUGUAACUUAAAUGAUUUUUGAGAAGAAACAGUUCGAUGAAAGAUAUUAGGCUCUUAGAGUCGAUGAUUGGAUUUAGAGGAGCUACGGGUCAGCUCUCGAAGUUAACGAUUCGUUAGAGAAAUUGCAGAUUUGGGAAGACUCAAUCGGGUCAAAGGGAGCAGAAGAGCUCUCGAAGAUUAUACAUCGAGCCUACCUGGAUUUCGAAGAUGUUACAUCGAGUGUGGGUUUCCAAAGAUUUUGUCCACAAAGUUCUGACCACAAAGAUUUUAUCCAUAGAGAUCAACAGGGUAAACAGAAACGUUUACACAUCUGAGAAGUUGUAACCGCUGAUUAGACACUGAUCUGGAAAAGGAAUAAGAUCUGGAAAAACAAGGAAACGAGAGAAUUACGUUGGAAGGUUGACAAACGGAAUCGCUGGUUGAUUUCUCAGCUCUGAAUACUCUCUCCUCAUCUCCUUCUUGUUGUCUUAUUUUUUUUCAUAGAGAAAGCAGAUCCGUCGCCUUGUCAUGACAGAGAUGGAUCUGGUGCUGAAUCUAUGCAUAUUGAUAAAGGUCUGAAGGACGAGGUACGAUUGAUUGGUCCCGGUCACUGUUAGCUUCCAUGUUUUGUUAUCACAAUCAAGCUUUUGCCAUCUAGAACCAGUUAGCACUUGCGACUUUACUAGAAUUCCAGAGUUAAGCUUUUGUCAGUCAUUUAUAGUUCAGAGACCAUGAUUGUGUUAAUUGGGACAAUUUUCUUGCUUUCUAUGUGAUACUUGAGCUAAUGAGCUUGCUUAUGGAAUGAGAAGAAGCGUUUGAU